rnacentral:rRNA from 1 species
UGGGGAAUAUUGCACAAUGGGGGAACCCUGAUGCAGCGACGCCGCGUGAAGGAAGAAGUAUUUCGGUAUGUAAACUUCUAUCAGCAGGGAAGAAAAUGACGGUACCUGACUAAGAAGCCCCGGCUAACUACGUGCC